UCGAACCGAGCUGCCCACCUUUGCUGGGGGUCGGAGGGGCAAGACGUAGACGCAAACCCUGUGGGACUUAACAGCUACCAACCCACUGAGUUAAGCAAUAAAAUGGUCUGCGGUCCUGACCCCGCCCCCACUGGGCCCGCGGGGGAGCCCGCGUACGCCCCCCAGUUUUCUCCGCCACAGCCGCACUCCAGCUGGUCCUUCUCUAGGCAGAUCCAGAGGCGGCCGCCGAUCUCUCCGGCGCUCUCCUUUCGGCCUGGGGGACCGCAGGGUCCCGGGCUGCCCACCGCUCAGGCGCGACCCGGCUGAUCCCUGCCCUGCAGAAGCCCGAUUUCUCGCCAGCAAACUGCUCUCCGAGGCUACCCAGCGUUCCCGCCACGCCGCAGGAACCCUUCCAGCUCGCCCUCGAGCUCUGGGGACCCCUCCACAGCGGGGCCUCCUGGAAUUCCCUGCCGGUCUCCGCGAGCACACUAGGCGGGCUGGUGCAGCCGAAACUACCUUCACCUGGCGGUGUCCUCCCUCUCCCUCAGAGACAUCCCGACAUCACCCUCAAAACUGGAAGGGAGGACCCUGAGUGACCUAGGUAAAUCGACUCCCACAUGCACACACCUGACAGAUGGGGAAACUGAGGCUCAAAGAGCCGAGCGCAGAAAAGAGCUUGACUCCGCAGGCCAAUCCUGUAACCUUAUGCCUGACAAACAAAACCUUAUAAUUGGAGGAGGACGGACGGCGGGAGUGACUAAACAGCUCUAACUUCUGCCUGCCACCUGCCAGGAUUCCCCUCCCCGGGUUUAGUAAGAGGAGAGUCAAACGCGCUGAUGCCCGGGAAGGAGCAGGCCUCGAGUUCUGGUGGGCUCCUCUAUGGGACCCUGGGGUCCGAAGAACAGUGGCAAAUAAACCUCUCCUAGGUUAUGCACUCUAUUGUGAACAGCAGAUGAGCCAGUCUUGCAUGCCAGCCCGCACCCAGCACAUAGUAGAGCUUAAUUUAUGCAUUUGAGACUGGCUGCAGUGGCGGUGGCUCAGGCCUGUAAUCCCAGCACUUUGAGAGGCUGAGGGGGGUGGAUCGCUUGACCCCCUGGCCAACUUGGCAAAACCCCGUCUUUACUAAAAAUACAAAAAUUAGCCAGGUGUGGUGGCACACACCUGUAGUCCCAGCUACUUGGGAGGCUGAGAUGGGAGAAUCCCUUGAACCUGGGAGGUGGAGGUUGCAAUGAGGCUGUUUUCAUCAGUGCACUCCAGCCUGGACAACAGAACAAGACUCUCAAAAUGUAUACAUACAUAUAUGCAUUUGGCCCUUUAUAGCCACAGGUUUCAGUGCCUGCAGAUACCUGGGCUGACUGUGAGGGGCUUGAGCAUCCUCAGAUUUUGGUAUCCUUCGGGAUACUGAAAUCAAUACCCUGCCAAUAUCAAGGGAGGACUGUAUUUGUAGAAGGAAUGGCUUGCAUCAACUGCAAAAAUUAAAAUUAAAAAUGCAAAUAUGUCAAUUCAGAGGUGAGUGAAGGAUUUGGAGGAAGAUCACUGACAGGAAGGGCCUUGAUUUAGGGGCUGGACUUUGUCCUCUACCUUCUCUCCAGGUGACGAGGGAUACCGGAAAGGCCACCCAUGGAAAAGGGGAAGAAAGUGUCCCCUGAUUCUCAGAAGAGCCACCGCUGCUGUUGGUAAGCAGAUAUUAGGUGGUGUCACUGGCCACAUCAUUCAUCAACCACAGACAUUUGUGUGAGUGUUACCCUUCAGCACUGUGCCUUCCAGAAGCCCCUGGCUGAGGAAGCACUGCUUCUGAGCCACAGAGACAGCUGAUUUAUGGACUAUUUUAUCACUGCUUCUAAACUGUGGCACUAAACCUAACACAGAGGGUAAUGGUAGUGCUGUAUCCAUCCAUUCAUUCACUCAAUAAAUAUUUGCUGAGCACCAUCUGCGUGUCAGGGAAUGUACUAGAUGUUAUGUAUAUAGAGAUGAAAAAGCCAUAGUCCCUGUCCCACACAGCCCACCAGACAGGCACAGAAACAAAAAUAUGAUGUCAUGAGUUAGAUGGAAGGAAAGAGAUCUGACAAGGGUAUUGUUGGAACACAGUGGAGGAGCACUGGACCGCGUGGGAAAGGAGGCUCCAGGCUUAACUUUUUGGAGGAGGUGAAACUUAAGUGAACCUUAAAGAAUGAGAGUCAGCCAGAUAGAGUGUGGGAAGUUAUUCCAGGCAGAAGGACCAGCCUUAGCUAAUGCACAGGGACAGGAAACUGCAUGGUAUACAAAGGAAUGUCUAGCAUCUCAAUGUGGCUGGACUAGAAAUCCAAGGCUGGGAGGGGUAAGAGAUGGGGCCAGAGAGGUGCACAGCAGCCAGACCAUGAAGGCCUCGUGUGGAUCUAAGGCCAGGUGGAGUGUGGAUCUAAGGGGAGCAAGGAUGGCUGGAAGCUUUGGCACCAGUUGCAAAGCUGUUGCAAUAAUCCAGGUCAAAAUGGAGAAGCAUGGAUAGACCAGAAAUACUUAGGGGAUGAGACCUAAGAGUUUGAGGAGACAGAAUUGUUUUUGUUGAGAGAUCCCAUGUACUUUACCUGUAUUAAGUUCCUCCUGUGAGGUGGGAGUUGUGUCUGUCUUACAGAGAAAACAAACUGAAGCUCGGAGAGGUAGUAACUAGUCCAAAAUGGACCAGUAUAUGUGACUCCCAGACCCAUGCCUUUAACUCCAGUGGUUCUCAACCCUAGGAUAUUUUAACAGCUCCCCCUCACAAGGGAUAUUUGUCGACGUCUGGAGUCAUUUUGGGUUAUGACAACUGGUGGGUUCCUACUGGCAUCCAGUGGAUGCAGGCUAGGGAUGCUACUAAACAUUCUACAAUGGAUAGGACAGCAUCUCCACAACAAAGAAUUAUCCAGGCCGGGCACAAUGGCUCAUGCCUGUAAUCCCAGCACUUUGAGAAACUGAGGGUGAUGGAUCACUUGAGGUCAGGAGUUCGAGACCAGCCUGGGCAAUGUGGCAAAAACCCAUCUUUACCAGAAAUACAAAAAUUAGCCAUCCAUGGUGGUGUGAAUCUGUAGUCUCAGCUACCUGAGGGGCUGAGGCAGGAGGAUUGCUUGAGUCCGGGAGGUCAGGACUGCAGUGAGCCAUGAUUGUACCAUCACACUACAGCCUGGGUUACAGAGCAACACCCUGUCCAGAAAUGAAAGAGAGAGAGAGAGAGAAAGGAAAGAAAGAGAAGAAAGAGAAAGAAAGAGAGAGAGAGAGAAGGAAGGAAGGAAGGAAGGAAGGAAGGAAGGAAGGAAGGAAGGAAGGAAGAAAGAAAGAAAGAAAGAAAGAAAGAAAGAAAGAAAGAAAGAAAGAAAGAAAAGAACGAACCAGCUGAAAAUAUCAAGAGUGCUGGGGUUGAAACCCUGCCUUAAUCAUCAGUUUGUAGUUUAGAUAAUCUGGUUGGGAACAGAAUCAUGGAUUGAGUUUGAAUACACUGAAUAUGGAGUGCUCUCAGAAUGUCCAGAUUCCGUGUCCAGCAAGCAGUUUGACUACAUAGCCCUGACCUCAGGCAAAACAAGAGCUGAGAGUCAUCUGCAUAUGGAUGAUAUUAACACCAUGAGACCACCCAUGAAGAAUGCCCAGAUGGAGACGAGAAGAGGGCAGAACACUGAAGAGCAACACUUAGGGACAGCAAAGAACAAGAACCCCUGAAGGAAACAAAGAAAAUGGCCAUCCAGGAACAAGGAGAGCCUGGAGUAUAUGGUGUUCUGGUGGUCAAAGGAGUGAGGUUUCAAAGAGUAAUUGACAAUGUCAGAUAUGCUUUAAAGGUCUGGAAAAUAAGGCCUAAACAGUGUUCUUGUAUAUGACAGUUGAAAAUUCAUUGGGUGACCUUGGCCAAUGGAAUUUUGGCAGAGUAGCAAAAGCUGUAAGUUUUAAAGAGACACUAGGAGUGAAUCAAUGGAGACAGUGAAUAUAGAAGGAAAAAGAAGUAGCUAGAGGAGCAAUAGCUAGAGGUAGGUUCUGAGACCAAAGGAGGAUUUCUCUUAAAACUGAAAAAUGUGAGCUGUUUGUUCUUUGAGAAAAAGAAUUCAGUUAAGUAAGAGGAAAAAGUUGAAAAUGUACGCAAAAGGGAGUUGAGGGAGCCAGGUGCAGUGGCUCAUGCCUGUAAUCCCAGAACUUUGGAAGGCCAACGCAGGUGGAUUCUCCUGCCUCAGCCUCCUGAGUAGCUGGGAUUACAGGCACGCGCCACCAUGCUCAGGAGUUCGAGACCACCCUGGACAACAUGGUAAAAACCAAUCUUUACCAAAAAUACAAAAAAUUAGUCAGGCAUGGCGGAGUGCACCUGUGGUCCCAGUUACUUGGGAGGCUGAGGUGGGAGGAUCGCGAGAGCCUGGGAAGUUGAGGCUGCACUGAGCCAUGAUUGGGCCACUGCACUCCAGCCUGGGUGACAGAGCCAGACUCUAUCUAGAAAAAAAAAAGGAAGGCCAGGCGCCGUGGCUCAAGCCUAUAAUCCCAGCUCUUUGGGAGGCCGAGGCAGGUGGAUCAUGAGGUCAAGAGAUCGAGACCAACCUGGUCAACAUGAUGAAACCUCUUCUCUACUAAACAUACAAAAAAUUAGCUGGGCAUGGUGGUGUGUGCCUGUAAUUCCAGCUACUCAGGAGGCUGAGGCAGGAGAAUUGCCUGAACCCAGGAGGCGGAGGUAGCAGUGAGCCGAGAGGUACCAUUGCACUCCAGCCUGGGUAACAAGAGUGAAACUCCGUCUCAAAAAAAAAGAAAAAAAGGAAAGUAGUUGAGGGUCAGCACAAAGUUCUUGAGGAGAUAGGACCAUAUGGGUGCAAGGACACAGGCUAAGGGAUGAGCCACGGAACAAGAAGAAAGCCCCUAACGUGGCUGGGUAUGGUGGAUCAUGCAUAUAAUCCCAACACUUUGGAAGGCUGAAGCAAGCGGAUUACUUGAGCCGAGAAGUUAAAAACUAGCCUGACCUCCCAGCACUUUGGGGGGCCGAGGCGGGUGGAUCAUGAGGUCAAGAGAUCGAGACCAUCCUGGUCAACAUGGUGAAACCCCGUCUCUACUAAAAAUACAAAAAAUUAGCUGGGCAUGGUGGUGCGUGCCUGUAAUCCCAGCUACUCAGGAGGCUGAGGCAGGAGAAUUGCCUGAUCCCAGGAGGCGGAGGUUGCAGUGAGCCGAGAUCGGGCCAUUGCACUCCAGCCUGGGUAACAAGAGCCAAACUCUGUCUCGGAAAAAAAAAAACUAGCCUGACCAACAUGGUGAAACCUGUCUCUAAAAAUACAAAUAUUAGCUGGAUAUGGUGGUUUAUACCUGUAGUCUCAGCUACUUGGGAGGCUGAGGUGGGAGGAUCAUUUGAGCCCAGGAGGGAGAGGUUGCAAUAAGUGGAGAUCGCACCACUGCCCCCCAGCCUGGGUGACAAGAGUGAGACCUGGUGUCAAAAAAAAAAAAGAGAAGAAAAGAAAAAGACCCUCAUCUGAGAAGAGAGGAGGGGGAGUGAUAAUGAGUGAGGAUGCCCACGGUGUGUGGGAAGAUGGUCAGGAAGCGCAUGGAAACAAUAACUGAUGAACGUAUCUUCUCAAUAAGGGAGGCCUUGAGGAUGGAUCAAGGUAAUGGACUGACCCAUCUUCUCACUCAUGGCCAUCACACUGUCAGAUGGUACCGGGACUUUAGUCUCAGUAUAACACAAACUUUUUUAGAGAGAACAAAGUUGCUGAAAGUGUUGAAUCUUUAGGGAUGCUAAUGUAUAUGCAUAUUUAUAACAGCCAUUCUCUUUUUAAAAUUGGACAUAACAGAGUCAAAAAUGCAUUAAUCAAGUACACUGAUCUUACACAUCACUCAGUAGAAUUUUAGUAAUCUACACCUGUAUAACCUCUUUUCCGGUCAAGAUAUAACUUGUUUCUAGCACCUCAGUUUUUCUCAUGCCUCUUCCACUCUAUACUUCCAGUUCAUAGAGGUGCCCACUCUUCCGACUUCCUAUCACCAAUGAUCAUUUUUGUUCAUGAGCUUUUUAUAAACACAGUAUGUAUACUUUGGUUUCUGGAUUUCUUUUUUUCUUUUUUGCUCAGUUUAAUGUCUAUAACAUUCAUUUAUAUUGUGGCUUGUAUCAGUAGUUAAUUUGCUUUUGUUGUUUAGCAUUCUAUUUUAUGAGUAGAUCCUAAGAAAUUUAUCUAUUCUCCCAUUGAUGGGUAUUGUUUCCAAUUUAGAACGUUAAUGAAUAAAACUAUGAACAUU